CAUUCUCUGGGAUGUUCGAUUUGCGGCCUUGGGGGGUUGACCAACAGACCGCAAGCUUGAGACCUCGGCCAAAAUCGCGGUGAGCCAGCCCACCUCCGAGUGGGACGCCUGAAGUGAUUUUCAGAGGCAGACGAUAAAUUCAAGGUCAAAACCGCAAGAAGGAGAACGGCAUCCCGGAGCGAAA
rnacentral:other from 1 species